AAACUUAGCAUUUAAAGUAUUCAGUUGAUUUAGGUGUUGUAUAAUAAGAAACAAACAGUAAAUUCAUAUGAUCAGGAUAUAUCCCUUCUACUUGCAGAUGAAGAACUGUUGAACAGACAGAAUGAACCUGCUUCCUUGAUUUCAAAUCCAGGGACUGAACCUGUAUCUUUAUUUCAAUUUCAACUGUAGCCUUCUGGGGACAGGAGUUUUCCUUGCUAUGGAGAGAGAGAGAGAGAGAGACAGAGGCUUAUUAUCAGAGUUAUUACUAGAAGACCAGCUGAGGACACGGAGAGCAAAGACCUUGGGGUCCAGUCUUGUUUAUGCAACUUUAUGAA
rnacentral:lncRNA from 1 species